AUUUGCGAAUCGAGAGAUAACAAAAAAAAAUCAUGAGAAAUUGUGUAGCGAGAGUCAAGUGGUUCUCGAGUAUCGUGAAAAAAUUGGAAAUUAGUAUACGAAUUUCAAGUCUCACGAAGUUUUUAGCGCGUGCCUGCAAAAGGAUUUUGUAUCGCCUUUCUUUUUUUUUUUCAUUUUUUCGGAAAAUUUUUUCCGCUAUUCUCAAAACUGCGAAUUCACUCUGUUUCAGAUACACGCAGUGAAAGGAAGUCCGAUCGGAAAUCAGCGGAUGUUCUUUCCGGCAUGGGCGGCAGAUACUUCGACACACCCAAGGAUUCUCCGUGACAAGAACUUGCAAUGUGCUAUGGACAGGAUGGCCAGGUCGGCACUGUCGUGUGACAGAUGCCUACUCAAUGGUGUGUCUCCCCACCUACGCAGAGCACAUUGCUGACACGGGCGUU
rnacentral:misc_RNA from 1 species